UACGUAGGGUGCGAGCGUUGUCCGGAAUUACUGGGCGUAAAGAGCUCGUAGGCGGUUUGUCGCGUCGUCCGUGAAACUUGGGCUCAACCCAAGCUUGCGGCGAUACGGGCAGACUUGAGUACUGCAGGGAGACUGGAAUUCCUGGUGUAGCGGUGAAAUGCGCAGAUAUCAGGAGGAACACCGGUGGCGAAGGCGGUCUCUGGCCACAACUGACGCUGAGGAGCGAAAGCAUGGGGAGCGAACAGG
rnacentral:rRNA from 1 species